UGGAGGGUGCUCCUUGAGCUGGUUCGGAUAGUGACGUCGUAAUCCCUAUCCUCCCAGCUCAGGGGCACUUUUCAGCUCACACCACCAGCUCGAGCACCACUGUCCCGUG
rnacentral:sRNA from 1 species